UGGUCUACAUCUGAUCUGUUUUGUAUAGUUUUGUAUGCAAUGAUGUCUUCUAGUAUUUAUAAAGAUGGUGUACAUCUGAUCUGUUUUGUAUUAUUUCCUAUGCAAUGACAUCUUCUGGUGAUUAUUAACAUGGUGUCAUCUAAUCUGUUGGUAUAUUUUCCUAUACCAUGAUGCACAUAUAUUCCAAACCCUAUUGACUUCAAUCGAUGCACUCCACUUUAUAAGAACCUUCUACAUGAUCCUAACAUAACAUGCCAAUAUGUCGCCAAUUACAACUAAUAAACAUCACGUAAGCACAUAGAGAUUAUUUUCUCUAACUAAAACAGAACUCUUGACUACUUGGAAGCACAGAAAGAAUGCCAAAUCGACAAACAAUAGCAACCCAGUUCAGGGAACUACACCACCAAUCUACCCUUUUGCAUUAAGCUACUGUUUGCAACUCAGUUGCAGCAAAAUCCCCCAAAUUAUCAUAUCCGUAUACCAGCUAUCGAUUCUGUGUAGGUAUAGACUACGAGCAUAAUCAAUAAAACCCAGGCAGCAAGACGAAGAUGGGAAUGGAGGAAAAGUACCCCGGAUGAUUGUAGUUAGAUGAGAGCGCAAAACUCAACAGCUUCUCUGUUCCUUCAUGUUGAGCGAGGUAGCCGAGGGAACCUCUGGGUACCAGCCGUCACAAAAUUUAGCCGGCCGGCGUAUGUUUGCCGGGAGAGAUUAAACGGUCGGAGUACUGAUGAGCAAUUGAUCAUACAAGUACAACUAAACCUCAUAGAAGCCCAUUUAUCAGCCCAAACCCAUAAUUG
rnacentral:lncRNA from 1 species